rnacentral:rRNA from 1 species
GAUGAACGCUGGCGGCGUGCCUAAUACAUGCAAGUCGAGCGAACAGACGAGGAGCUUGCUCCUCUGACGUUAGCGGCGGACGGGUGAGUAACACGUGGAUAACCUACCUAUAAGACUGGGAUAACUUCGGGAAACCGGAGCUAAUACCGGAUAAUAUAUUGAACCGCAUGGUUCAAUAGUGAAAGACGGUUUUGCUGUCACUUAUAGAUGGAUCCGCGCCGCAUUAGCUAGUUGGUAAGGUAACGGCUUACCAAGGCAACGAUGCGUAGCCGACCUGAGAGGGGGAUCGGCCACACUGGAACUGAGACACGGUCCAGACUCCUACGGGAGGCAGCAGUAGGGAAUCUUCCGCAAUGGGCGAAAUCCUGACGGAGCAACGCCGCGUGAGUGAUGAAGGUCUUCGGAUCGUAAAACUCUGUUAUUAGGGAAGAACAAAUGUGUAAGUAACUAUGCACGUCUUGACGGUACCUAAUCAGAAAGCCACGGCUAACUACGUG